AAUACUUUUUACAAUUAUUUUUAGAUGACAAACCUCUGUAUCAAACUGCUUUUGCUUUGCCCAUCCUACCUCCAAAUUACAUAAAUCGUAUUAACAGGCACUUCACUACAAGAUACAAAUCCUGGGAAUUCUGAACCAGCUGAGACGUCUUAAAUAUAUAUGGAGACAGGAUACAUAUGAACCACCAACAACAACCCUGAUGUUCUCUAUGAAUAGAGAGAGUGCCUAUUUACCCUGAAAUACUUGGCACAAUGAAGUAAGGCUGAAGCAUGGAAGAAGUGUCUCUUAUUUCCCACCGCUUGCUUGCAGCUGUCAUUUUAUCAGACAUACUGAAAACCUGGCAGGACUACAGGAAAGUGACUAGACUUCGAGUGUUUGUGUACUUAAAGAAGGAAUCUUGCACAUUUUCAACUUUCAGUCUCAGAUAUUUUCUUAUAAGAGCAAUUGGAAGUCUGAGCCAGCCCUCAAAGCGGAAAUUAAUAGCUCCCAGAGAAACAUACCCAAGGAAUGUGAAUCUGAUCCAGGAACCAUACGCAAUGCACAUAUAGUACCGUCUUCCUUAUAGGAAGUCUGGCCAUAUAUGGACAUGUGUACCCUGAGCUAUUUUUCAUCGUGAUAGUCUUGUAAUUGGCUAUAGACAUUUCUAGUUUGCCUCAGGUUUAACAAUGUACAUUAAUUUCCCUCUCUCCAGAAUAUUUCUUAAAUUGUAAUAAAUAUUAUCCUAAAAUCCUAAGGGAUCCAGUUAAACUUAUAUCAACAUGUAUUUGUUUAAAAUAAAGACUCCAAGCAAGAUUUGCUGUGCUUCUGCAGAAGUGGAAAUGAAGUAAAA